rnacentral:rRNA from 1 species
GACGAACGCUGGCGGCGUGCCUAAUACAUGCAAGUAGAACGCACAGUUUAUACCGUAGCUUGCUACACCAUAGACUGUGAGUUGCGAACGGGUGAGUAACGCGUAGGUAACCUGCCUGGUAGCGGGGGAUAACUAUUGGAAACGAUAGCUAAUACCGCAUAAUAUUAAUUAUUGCAUGAUAAUUGAUUGAAAGAUGCAACUGCAUCACUACCAGAUGGACCUGCGUUGUAUUAGCUAGUAGGUGAGGUAACGGCUCACCUAGGCGACGAUACAUAGCCGACCUGAGAGGGUGAUCGGCCACACUGGGACUGAGACACGGCCCAGACUCCUACGGGAGGCAGCAGUAGGGAAUCUUCGGCAAUGGACGAAAGUCUGACCGAGCAACGCCGCGUGAGUGAAGAAGGUUUUCGGAUCGUAAAGCUCUGUUGUAAGAGAAGAACGGGUGUGAGAGUGGAAAGUUCACACUGUGACGGUAUCUUACCAGAAGGGGACGGCUAACUACGUG